AACAUGGCUCUUUGAGAUUUAUAUAUAAAGAGUCGGGCCUGCCCAGUGAUGUAUUUUUAACGGCCGCGGUACUCUGACCGUGCGAAGGUAGCAUAAUCAUUUGCCCUAUAAUUGAGGGCUAGUAUGAAUGGUUUGACAUGAGCAUAACUGUCUCCUUAAAAUUUUAUAAAAUUUGGUUUUUAGGUGAAGAAACCUAAAUUAAAUUGAAAGACAAGAAGACCCUAUCGAGCUUUAGAAUAAUUAAUUAAAAAAUAUAAAUAAAACAAUUAAUUUUAAUUAAAAACUUUGGUUGGGGCGACUGAGGAACAUAUAAAGCUUCCUUAAUUAAACAAUGCUGAUAAGCAAUGAUCCAGGAAAUCUGAUUAAAAAAAUUAGUUACCGUAGGGAUAACAGCAUAAUCUUUUUUGAGAGCUCUUAUCGAAAAAAAGGUUUGUGACCUCGAUGUUGGACUAGGAUAUCCUAAAGAUGUAGAAGUCUUUAAUGGUUGCUCUGUUCGAGCAUAAAAAUCCUACG
rnacentral:rRNA from 1 species